ACCAGAAUAGCUGAGUGGUUAAGGCAUUGGACUUAAGAGCCAAUGGAUUUAUAUCUUCAUGGGUUCGAACCCCACUUCUGGUA
rfam:Ovis aries breed Texel chromosome 6, whole genome shotgun sequence.